ACAGGGAUUGCCUCAGUAACGGCGAGUGAAGCGGCAACAGCUCAAAUUUGAAAUCUGGCCCUAGGCCCGAGUUGUAAUUUGCAGAGGAUGCUUUUGGUGCGGUGCCUUCCAAGUUCCCUAGAACGGGACGCCAGAGAGGGUGAGAGCCCCGUACAGUUGGACACCAAGCCUUUGUAAAGCUCCUUCGACGAGUCGAGUAGUUUGGGAAUGCUGCUCAAAAUGGGAGGUAUAUUUCUUCUAAAGCUAAAUACCGGCCAGAGACCGAUAGCGCACAAGUAGAGUGAUCGAAAGAUGAAAAGCACUUUGAAAAGAGGGUUAAACAGCACGUGAAAUUGUUAAAAGGGAAGCGCUUGUGACCAGACUUGCGUCCGGUGAAUCACCCAGCUCUCGCGGCUGGGGCACUUCGCCGGCUCAGGCCAGCAUCAGCUCGCUGUCGGGGACAAAAGCUUCAGGAACGUAGCUCUCUUCGGGGAGUGUUAUAGCCUGUUGCAUAAUACCCUUCGGCGGGCUGAGGUACGCGCUCCGCAAGGAUGCUGGCAUAAUGGUCAUCAGCGACCCGUCUUGAAACACGGACCAAGGAGUCAACCUUAUGUGCGAGUGUUCGGGUGUCAAACCCCUACGCGUAAUGAAAGUGAACGCAGGUGAGAGCUUCGGCGCAUCAUCGACCGAUCCUGAUGUUCUCGGAUGGAUUUGAGUAAGAGCAUAUAGGGUUGGACCCGAAAGAAGGUGAACUAUGCGUGUAUAGGGUGAAGCCAGAGGAAACUCUGGUGGAGGCUCGCAGCGGUUCUGACGUGCAAAUCGAUCGUCAAAUAUGCGCAUGGGGGCGAAAGACUAAUCGAACCUUCUAGUAGCUGGUUUCCGCCGAAGUUUCCCUCAGGAUAGCAGUGUUGAACUCAGUUUUAUGAGGUAAAGCGAAUGAUUAGGGACUC
rnacentral:rRNA from 1 species